AGAGUUUGAUCAUGGCUCAGAACGAACGCUGGCGGCGUGCUUAACACAUGCAAGUCGAACGUGAUUGGAAGCUUGCUUCCAUGAAAGUGGCGCACGGGUGAGUAACGCGUGGAUAACCUGCCCUGGUAUCUGGGAUAACAUCUCGAAAGGGGUGCUAAUACCGGAUAAGCCCACGGAGCCUUCGGGUUCUGAGGGAAAAGGUGGCCUCUGUUUCAAGCUACCGUAUCAGGAUGGGUCCGCGUACCAUUAGCUAGUUGGUAGGGUAAUGGCCUACCAAGGCGACGAUGGUUAGCUGGUCUGAGAGGAUGAUCAGCCACACUGGAACUGAGACACGGUCCAGACUCCUACGGGAGGCAGCAGUGGGGAAUUUUGCGCAAUGGGGGAAACCCUGACGCAGCAACGCCGCGUGAGUGAUGAAGGCUUUCGGGUCGUAAAGCUCUGUCAGAGGGGAAGAAAUGAAAGGGUGCUAAUACCAUCUUUCUUGACGGUACCCUCAAAGGAAGCACCGGCUAACUCCGUGCCAGCAGCCGCGGUA
rnacentral:rRNA from 1 species